GACGGGACCCGCACAAGCAGCGGAGCGUGUGGUUAAUUCGAUGCUACACGAAGAACCUUACCAGGGUUUGACAUGCAAGUGGUAGGAAUCCGAAAGGUGACCGACCUUCGGGAGCUUGCACAGGUGCUGCAUGGCUGUCGUCAGCUCGUGUCGUGAGAUGUUCGGUUAAGUCCGCUAACGAGCGCAACCCUCACUGUGUGUUAUAUGUGUCACACGGGACUGCCGGUUUUAAGCCGGAGGAAGGCGAGGAUGACGUCAAGUCAGCAUGACCUUUAUAUCCAGGGCUACACACACGCUACAAUGGUCUGUACAAUGGGUAGCCAAGCCGCGAGGCGGAGCCAAUCCUGAAAGCAGGCCUCAGUUCAGAUUGCAGUCUGCAACUCGACUGCAUGAAGCCGGAGUUGCUAGUAACCGCAGGUCAGCAAUACUGCGGUGAAUACGUUCCCGGGUCUU
rnacentral:rRNA from 1 species